UGCUUUACAUUCCAAAGCUUCCACUCAAUUAUUCAAGCUGGGUGUAGCCCAGGGGUCGAAGGCCUGCCUAGCCUGCGCGAGACCCUGGGUGCAAAAACAAAAACCAGGAGAAAAGAGUUUUUUAAGACUCCGGGGCCAUCGCCAGGGAUCGCUGCAGACGUAACCCGAAGGAGGCCCUCCGCGCUCGGCUCCCCCUCGGCCGAAAGAGACAUCCACUCGCGCUCCUUCCAGUCCCUGUCACCAGGCUAACACCCUCUCAAAUCCAGAAAAGCAGUCCUCCUUGCUUUUCCAGACUAGACAUCCAGCGGGCCAGCAUGCAGACUUCCAGGACCUUGGCUGCUGUUGUGAAGACAGGGCUGUGGGUAGUCCAAAGACAGUACCCCGAGACGGCGUGCAAGAUAUAGGACUUCCUGAGUAAGCUUACAAGGGACCAGUGGUGACCGGCUGAGAAGAUACCACCUCUGUCCCUCAAGGCGUUUCCUCCCACGGUGGCCAGCUGGAGAAGUGGCACGUAUCCUUUCCAUGGUGCCCUCAGCUCUGCACCAGUUGCCGCUAAGAGGGGGGUGUUAUAUGUUAGGCUGCAGAAGCAGUGGUAUUAUCCACAUUGGCUUGCUCAGGCUGCUUGUGUGACCAGCAUCCCCAGGAGCAACUGUCCUGCCAUACAUGCAAGAAGUUAGCUUCUACAGAGCUGGCUUGCCUGGUUCCCAGCGUGCACAGGACAAAGCCAGUGUCCUCCAAGGAAGCAGGGCUUCAUUCUGCAACAUGGAGGAAACCUGCUUUCCCACCUGCCCAGACGUAAACUGUUACGACUCAGAUGUGGUGACUUGCUCUGGCCAAUGGGAAACAAGCAGAGAUGGUGUCAGACAAUAUGGAGAGUGGUCCCUACCCUUUCGAUCAUCCCUGCGAAGACCCCAGAUACAUAGGAUAUGAAGGUGGAACUGCUAUUGCCAUCUUUGACCAUAAGGGGAGAUUUUGGAGACUAAAACCAGCACACGAAGGAUGGAAAAGUAAAGAGAAGAACCUUAUAGGCCCUGCUAGAUUAACAGCCCUGGGGCUGGUUGACUUCUGGCUUCUUACAGUGCUGUAGUACAUUUCCUCAUGGUGUAGAGUUCCAGCUGCCAUCUUAAGUCAUGAGCUGCCCUUGAAGAUGGAAGUCAAGAGCUAAGAUGAGAAAGGCAGAAACCCGGGGUCCUGAUGACCAAGUGGGCCACCCAGCAACUCUGGACUGCCUCGCUUCAGCUCUCUUUCCUAAGACAGAAAAAUAAACCUCAAUUGUGCAUCAGACACUUUUACUUUGGAGUUUCCUCCUAUAUUCAGCUAAGUAAAUCUCAACAAAUAGUCUCUUGAACAACUUUCUUUUAAAACAGUGAAGACCCGUGGAGAAGAGAAUAUGAAGAGUAUCAAUAAUGAGGAAUGCCCAGUGAGCGUGGUUCAGCAAGUCCUCCUGUUUCCAGUCCCCUGAAGCAACUUUUGGGGUAAGCAGGUUGGUUUCUUGGUCAGAGUUCUGGAUGGCAAGUAAUAGCAUCAUCUCUGGUUAGCUGAAGUGGAGGGAAGUUUAUCAGAUGGACAUCCAGGACACUGAGUUGGCAGGUGGCCAGAGAACAGCCUGGGAAUGGCUGGGAGUUGAGCAACUCUGCAGCCUACCCUCCAGCCUAGCCGCAAGAACAGCCUGCUCGGGGCCGUCACCGCAUGACCUCUAAAUCAUGCUCUUGCCACUGUCAUUCAGUAUCCUGUGUCUCAGGAAAGACGAAGUGAUCUGGAGAGAGGUGACUUUUUAAAAGAAAGCCAGAGUGUUAUUAUGAUGGAGAAAUGGACACUAGAACCCUGAAGUGCAGCAGGAAUCCAAUCAAACAAGCCACACUCAGCCGGAGGCGGGACUGGCUGCAGCGGGUGUCAAGGGUCCAUCCCUCUCCAUGAAAGCUGGCCCUCGCCUUUCUCUCUCCGUCUACUUCAUGGUCCUCUCUACUCUUUAUUCUGAGCUUGAGACUUUCUGUUCUUGCUUUUUCUUUGCUCUUUGAAGAAUUAUUGAGCAGGAAAAUUAGAAAGGGAUGGUAGGGACCAUCUAUUUCCGCUUCUUUGUUUUUCCUAGAGAUAUACUUCCCCCAGGUCUUGACUACUACGUUAUCGUUUCUUCAAAACCUGUAUAAAUUUUUAGUUGUGGAUGAAUCUUUAUUUGCAUGUGGUGCUGAGGAUGGAGCCCAGUGCCUCACUCAUGCCAGGCAAGCACUCCACCACUGAGCCACAGCCCCAGCUCCCAAGUUGCUGGUUUUUUCUUUUCCUUUCGUCCUGGUGUUGGAACCCAGGGCGUCAGGCACUUGUUGGCAAGUGCUCUGUCACGGAGCAGCACCACCAGUCCUUUGACUUCCAUGUUUCUGACUCUAGUAAGUAUUUAGUUCAGAUUGUGUCUUGUUUACCCUGGUGUUUGGCCCUCGUCCGAUUAUACCUGAUUCUUAUGUUUUGGAUUUAGCAGUGUAUUCCCAAAAUUCCUGUUGAAGUCCUCCACUCCCAACUUCAAAAUACAACCUUAUUUGGAAAUAAGGUCUUUGCAGAUGUAGUUAAAUUCGUACAGGGUUAGGAUAUCACCCUAUUCCAGUAUGAGUGAUGUCCUUAUAAGAAGGGAAAUUUGAACACAAAGCUGUGCACACAGGAAGAACGUCAUGUGAAAAAUGAAGGCAGAGAUCCUGGUGAUUCUUCUACAAGUCCAGGAAUGCCCAAGAAUGGCAGGUACCCUCCAGAAGCUAGGGAAAAAGCAUAAAACCUAUUUUUCACAGUCCUCAGAAGGAACCAAGUUUGAUCUUGAACUUCUGGCUUCCAGAACUCUGAGACAAUGCGUUUCUCAAUGUUGUUUACUGCAGUGCGUGGCGCUUUGUUAUGGCCACCUUAGCAAGCUCAGAUGAUAACCGUCUCAGGUGAAAGCCCUGGUCUUCCACUGUUCUUUGUUCCUCUUCAUGAAUCACUACUCUCUCUCCCAGGCUGCAGGACUUU